rnacentral:rRNA from 1 species
GUGGGGAAUAUUGGACAAUGGGCGAAAGCCUGAUCCAGCAAUGCCGCGUGAGUGAUGAAGGCCCUAGGGUUGUAAAGCUCUUUUACCAGGGAUGAUAAUGACAGUACCUGGAGAAUAAGCUCCGGCUAACUCCGUGCCAGCAGCCGCGGUAAUACGGAGGGAGCUAGCGUUGUUCGGAAUUACUGGGCGUAAAGCGCGCGUAGGCGGUUUUUUAAGUCAGAGGUGAAAGCCCGGGGCUCAACCCCGGAAUUGCCUUUGAAACUGGAAAACUUGAAUCUUGGAGAGGUCAGUGGAAUUCCGAGUGUAGAGGUGAAAUUCGUAGAUAUUCGGAAGAACACCAGUGGCGAAGGCGACUGACUGGACAAGUAUUGACGCUGAGGCACGAAAGCGUGGGGAGCAAACAGGAUUAGAAACCCUUGUAGUCC